rnacentral:rRNA from 1 species
CCGGGGUUUCUUUACCAGGUACUGUCAUUAUCAUCCCUGGCGAAAGUGCUUUACGACCCUAGGGCCUUCAUCACACACGCGGCAUGGCUAGAUCAGGCUUGCGCCCAUUGUCUAAGAUUCCCCA